UACGUAGGAAGCGAGCGUUGUCCGGAUUUACUGGGCGUAAAGCGCACGUAGGCGGAUCGUUAAGUCGGGGGUGAAAUCCUGGAGCUCAACUCCAGAACUGCCUUCGAUACUGGCGAUCUUGAGUCCGGAAGAGGUGAGUGGAACUCCUAGUGUAGAGGUGGAAUUCGUAGAUAUUAGGAAGAACACCAGUGGCGAAGGCGGCUCACUGGUCCGGUACUGACGCUGAGGUGCGAAAGCGUGGGGAGCAAACAGG
rnacentral:rRNA from 1 species